AGCAGCCGCGGUAAUUCCAGCUCCAAUAGCGUAUAUUAAAGUUGUUGCAGUUAAAAAGCUCGUAGUUGAAUUUCGGGGUCAAUACGUUGGUCGUGCUUUCGGGUACGUACUGGCGUCAUUGGUUUCUCUCUUCUGACGAACCAUGAUGUCAUUAAUUUGGUGUUAUGGGGAGUUAGGACUGUUACUUUGAAAAAAUUAGAGUGUUUAAAGCAGGCUUACGCUUGAAUACAUUAGCAUGGAAUAAUGAAAUAGGACGUUUGAUCCUAUUUUGUUGGUUUCUAGGAUUGACGUAAUGAUUAAUAGGGAUAGUUGGGGGCAUUAGUAUUCAAUUGUCAGAGGUGAAAUUCUUGGAUUUAUUGAAGACUAACUACUGCGAAAGCAUUUGCCAAGGAUGUUUUCAUUAAUCAAGAACGAAAGUUAGGGGAUCGAAGACGAUCAGAUACCGUCGUAGUCUUAACCAUAAACUAUGCCGACUAGGGAUCGGAUGAUGUUAAUUUUUUUCAAUGACUCAUUCGGCGCC
rnacentral:rRNA from 1 species